AGAGCUUAGCUCAUUAGUGAGCAUUGAACCAAACAGGAAUUGUUCACAGUGGCUAAGUUCAGU
rnacentral:pre_miRNA from 1 species